UACGUAGGGGGCGAGCGUUGUCCGGAAUGACUGGGCGUAAAGGGCGCGUAGGCGGUUCGGUAAGUUAGGAGUGAAAGUCCAGCUUUUAAGGGUGGAACUGCUUUUAAUACUGUCGGGCUAGAGUGCAGAAGAGGUAAGCGGAAUUCCCAGUGUAGCGGUGAAAUGCGUAGAGAUUGGGAAGAACACCAGUGGCGAAGGCGGCUUACUGGGCUGUAACUGACGCUGAGGCGCGAAAGCGUGGGGAG
rnacentral:rRNA from 1 species